UGAAGAGAAAAUGGGUGAUUUUUGUGGUAAAUGGGGGAUUUUCAAAGAAAAAAUGCAUGAUAUUCGUGUUAAAUGGGGGAUUUUCAAAGAGAAACUGCAUGAUUUUUGGGGAUAAAUGGGGGAUUUUUGAAGAGAAAAUGGGUGAUUUUUGGGUUAAAUGGGGAAUUUUCGAAAAGAAAAUGGGUGAUUAUCGGGUUAAAUGGGCAAUUUUCAAAGAGAAACUGCAUGAUUUUUGGGUGAAAUGGGGAAUUUUCGAAAAGAAAACAGGUGAUUUUCAGGUUAAAGGGGGGAUUUUCAAAGAGAAAAUGGAUGAUUUUCGCUUAAAUCGGGGAUUUUUGAAGAGAAAAUGGGUGAUUUCUGCCUAAAUGAGGGAUUUUUGAAAAGAAAACAGGUGAUUUUUGUGGUAAAUGGGGGAUUUUCAAAGAAAAAAUGGAUUGUUUUCGCUAAAAUGAAGGAUUUUCAAAGAGUAAAU
ensembl:lncRNA